ACUUUCUUGUUCGUGAACUAUAAAAGAAAAGGUGUUAAUUCCAGAUGGAAAGGGUCAUGCAUUUUAUUGGUAAGAAGUGAUUUGGUCCAGUUGAAAAAGGUAAAAAAUUAGUAUUUUUGAAGCUGUCAAACUGAAUCACAGACCCCUCAUCAACAUAAAAUUGUCAAUAUUUUAAGUUAGAGCUGAUGAUGUUUUCUAUAAUUUUGAUAUAAUUUGUCCCAAAGUAGUACACUACAUCAUGUACAUUGAAAAAAUCAUUUGAGGUUGAGCAGGUGUGAAUUUUCUAAUUUGUGUUUAUUGUCUAAAAGAAAUGCAUUACAAAAGAACUGUGUUCUUGGACUAGGAAGGUGUGAUAAUAUUUCUUUUUUACCAGUUUGAAUCUGAAGAUAACAAAAUUAUGAUAUCUGUUCAAGUUAUCUAUGAAUAAUACAAAUAUUUGAGAUUUAUACUCCACAGAUCAUUCAGCAAGGCCAGUUGUAUCUUUGGUCUUUGUGUCACAACUGUGGUAAAGUAAUGACAAUGUCAUCGAUAUCUGUCAGGGUUUUCGAGAGUUGUUGGAGGUAUCUAUGACCUCUUACAUAGUUUGUAAAACCUACAAUUUGUUGUAUUAUUCAAAUCUUUAAAAAAAAAGGUUCUAUACAAGUUUGACUGCAUAUACAGGUGAUUAUACCACAGUGAAAAUAUUAUCUGUUUUACUUUCUUGUUCGUGAACUAUAAAAGAAAAGGUGUUAAUUCCAGAUAGAAAGGGUCAUGCAUUUUAUUGGUAAGAAGUGAUUUGGUCCAGUUGAAAAAGGUCAAAAAUUAGUAUUUCUGAAGCUGUCGAUCUGAAUCACAGACCCCUCAACAUAAAAUUGCCCAUAUUUUAAGUUAGAGCUGAUGAUGUUUUCUAUAAUUUUGAUAUAAUUUGUCCCAAAGUAGUACACUACAUCAUGUACAUUGAAAAAAAUCAUUUUGAGGUUGAGCAGGUGUGAUUUUUCUAAUUUGUGUUUAUUGUCUAAAAGAAAUGCAUUACAAAAGAACUGUGUUCUUGGACUAGGAAGGUGUGAUAAUAUUUCUUUUUUACCAGUUUGAAUCUGAACAUUACAAAAUUAUGAUAUCUGUUCAAGUUAUCUAUGAAUAAUACAAAUAUUUGAGAUUUAUACUCCACAGAUCAUUCAGCAAGGCCAGUUGUAUCUUUGGUCUUUGUGUCACAACUGUGGUAAAGUAAUGACAAUGUCAUCGAUAUCUGUCAGGGUUUUCGAGAGUUGUUGGAGGUAUCUAUGACCUCUUACAUAGUUUGUAAAACCUACAAUUUGUUGUAUUGUUCAAAUCUUUAAAAAAAAAGGUUCUAUACAAGUUUGACUGCAUAUACAGGUGAUUAUACCACAGUGAAAAUAUUAUCUGUUUUACUUUCUUGUUCGUGAACUAUAAAAGAAAAGGUGUUUAUUCCAGAUGGAAAGGGUCAUGCAUUUUAUUGGUAAGAAAUGAUUUGGUCCGGUUGAAAAAGGUCAAAAAUUAGUAUUUCUGAAGCUGUCAAUCUGAAUCACAGACCCCUCAACAUAAAAUUGCCCAUAUUUUAAGUUAGAGCUGAUGAUGUUUUCUAUAAUUUUGAUAUAAUUUGUCCCAAAGUAGUACACUACAUCAUGUAUAUUGAAAAAAUCAUUUUGAGGUUGAGCAGGUGUGAAUUUUCUAAUUUGUGUUUAUUGUCUAAAAGAAAUGCAUUACAAAAGAACUGUGUUCUUGGACUAGGAAGGUGUGAUAAUAUUUCUUUUUUACCAGUUUGAAUCUAAACAUUACAAAAUUAUGAUAUCUGUUCAAGUUAUCUAUGAAUAAUACAAAUAUUUGAGAUUUAUACUCCACAGAUCAUUCAGCAAGACCAGUUGUAUCUUUGGUCUUUGUGUCACAACUGUGGUAAAGUAAUGACAAUGUCAUCGAUAUCUGUCAGGGUUUUCGAGAGUUGUUGGAGGUAUCUAUGACCUCUUACAUAGUUUGUAAAACCUACAACUUGUUGUAUUAUUCAAAUCUUUAAAAAAAAGGUUCUAUACAAGUUUGACUGCAAAUACAGGAAAUGACAGGUGAUUAUACCACAAUGAAAAUAUUCUCUGUUUUACAUUCUUGCUCCUGAACUCUAUAAAAGAAAAGGUGUUAUAACAGAUGGAAAGGGUCAUGUAUUUUAUGAUAAAGAUUUGUGAUUUGAUCCAGUUGAAAAAGGUAAAAUAAAAUGCAUGUCGGAAGAUGUGGUAAUAUUUCUUUUUUACCAGUUUGAAUCUGAACAUUACAAAUUUAUAAUAUCUUUUCAAGUUACCUCCUAUGAAUAAUACAAAUAUUUGAGUUUAAUACUCCACAGAUCAUUCAGCAAGGCCAGUUGUAUCUUUGGUCUUUGUGUCACAACUGUGGUAAAGGAAUGACAAUGUCAUCGAUAUCUGUCAGGGUUUUCGAUAGUUGUUGGAGGUAUCUAUGACCUCUUACAUAGUUUGUAAAAUCUACAAUUCGUUGAAUUGUUCAAAUCUUUAAAAAAAAAAAAAAAAAAGGUUCUAUACAAGUUUGACUGCAUAUACCACAAUGAAAA